rnacentral:rRNA from 1 species
AAGAUUAAGCCAUGCAUGUCUAAGUAUAAGCAAUUAUACAGCGAAACUGCGAAUGGCUCAUUAUAUAAGUUAUCGUUUAUUUGAUAGUACCUUACUACUUGGAUAACCGUGGUAAUUCUAGAGCUAAUACAUGCUAAAAAUCCCGACUUCGGAAGGGAUGUAUUUAUUAGAUUAAAAACCAAUGCCCUCCGGGGCUCACUGGUGAUUCAUGAUAACUCCUCGAAUCGCAU